rnacentral:rRNA from 1 species
UACGGAGGGUGCGAGCGUUGUCCGGAAUCAUUGGGCGUAAAGCGCACGUAGGCGGUCCGUUAAGUCUCUUGGUGAAAGGCUGGGGCUCAACCCUAUGCAUGCCGGGGAUACUGGGGGACUGGAGACAGGUAGAGGCGAGCGGAAUUCCGGGUGUAGCGGUGGAAUGCGUAGAGAUCCGGAAGAACACCGGAGGCGAAGGCGGCUCGCUGGACCUGAUCUGACGCUGAGGUGCGAAAGCGUGGGGAGCGAACAGG